rnacentral:rRNA from 1 species
UUAAGCUAAGAAGAGCGUAGGGAGAAUGCCUUGGCAUUAGGAGCCGACGAAGGACGUGAUAAGCUGCGAUAAGCUGCGGGGAUCAGCAAGUAUGAAUUGAUCCGCAGAUUUCCGAAUGGAGCAAUCCGUAUGUGUAUGCACAUACAUCAUAUACUGAAUCAAAUAGGUAUAUGAGGGGAACCGCCUGAACUGAAACAUCUAAGUAGGGCGAGGAAGAGAAAUCAACCGAGAUUCUGUGAGUAGUGGCGAGCGAAAGCGGAAGAGGCUAAACCAUAGGUAGCAAUACUUAUGGGGUUUCGGACAGCAUUUAGUAUUGAUAAUUUCUAGUUGAAACGUGUGGGAAAACGUACCGAAGAGUGUGAGAGUCACGUAAGCGAAAGAGAGAGUCAGCGAGCUGUAUCCAAAGUACCGCGGGACACGUGAAACCUCGUGGGAAGAUGGGGGGACCAUCCUCCAAGCCUAAAUACUACCUAAUGACCGAUAGCGAAUAGUACUGUGAAGGAACGGUGAAAAGAACCCCGGGAGGGGAGUGAAAAAGAACCUGAAACCCUAUGCUUACAAGCACCGAGAGCACGUCAAAGUGUGAUCGGGUACCUUUUGUAGAAUGGUCCGGCGAGUUAUUGUAUGCGGCAAGGUUAAGUGCUUAAGGCACGGAGCCGAAGCGAGAGCAAGUCUGAAUAGGGCGAAAAAGUCGUAUGCAAUAGACCCGAAACCGAGUGACCUAUCCAUGUCCAGGCUGAAGUGGAGGUAAAACUCCAUGGAGGGCCGAACACACGUCCGUUGAAAAGGCUGGUGAUGAGGUGUGGAUAGCGGAGAAAUUCCAAUCGAACUCGGAUAUAGCUGGUUCUCUCCGAAAUAGCUUUAGGGCUAGCCUCGUGAAAGAUUACUGGAGGUAAAGCACUGAAUGGGCUAGGGGUCGAAAGAUUACUGAACCCUAUCAAACUAAGAAUGCCAGAUAAUUGAUUCACGGGAGUCAGACAAUGUGAGAUAAGUCUCAUUGUCAAAAGGGAAACAGCCCAGACCCACAGCUAAGGUCCCUAAACAUUGUUAAGUGGAAAAGGAUGUGGGGUUGCAUAAACAACCAGGAUGUUGGCUUAGAAGCAGCCACUCAUUAAAAGAGUGCGUAAUAGCUCACUGGUCGAGUGACCCUGCGCCGAAAAUUCAACGGGGCUAAACAAUGUACCGAAGCUUGGGAUUCUAGAUUUAUCUAGAGUGGUAGGAGAGCGUCGAAUAAGGGGUGAAGUCAGAGCGGAAGCGCUGGUGGACUUUAUUCGAGUGAGAAUGCCGGAAUGAGUAGCGAGAAUUAUGUGAGAAUCAUAAUGGCCGAAAAUCUAAGGUUUCCUGAGGAAGGUUCGUCCGCUCAGGGUAAGCCGGGAGCUAAGGCGAGGCGGAGACGCGUAGCCGAUGCACAUACGGUUGAAAUUCCGUAGCCACCGAAAGAUUUAAGUACAGGGACGCUUUAGAAGUGAUGUUGCCGGGCGAUGGUUGACCCGGUCGUAAGGGAUCGAAAAUGAGUAGAGAAGUCAUCAUGGAAAGAGACAAGAAAAGCUGUAUGAAUAUCUUAGGUGCCCGUACCGCAAACCGACACAGGUAGAUAGGAAGAAGAUUCUAAGGCCAACGGGAGAAGGGUUGUUAAGGAACUCGGCAAGUUGACCCCGUAACUUAGGGAUAAGGGGUGCUCAAGUGAUUGAGCCGCAGAGAAUAGGCCCAGGCGACUGUUUAGCAAAAACACAGGUCUCUGCUAAAUCGAAAGAUGACGUAUAGGGGCUGACACCUGCCCGGUGCCGGAAGGUUAAGAGGAGAUGUGAGAGCAUUGAAUUGAAGCCCCGGUAAACGGCGGCCGUAACUAUAACGGUCCUAAGGUAGCGAAAUUCCUUGUCAGGUAAG